rnacentral:pre_miRNA from 1 species
AAAGACUACAAUAUUACACUGUUUAUAUCCAACGUUUGACUUACUUGAAAAGAAAAUUAUGAUUAGUAUUUAUAUUGUUAGUAGAUGAUAAAGCAUGAAUAAUAUUUUAUGUGUGACUAUUUUUUUAAUUUUUUCAUAACCUUUUCAAAUAAUAUGGACGGUCAAACGUUGAACAUGGAAACCUACAACUGCACUUAAA